GCGACGCUUCUGGUUCCAGGCCGCCCUCCGGAUCGGACCCUGCGAAUGGUUUUGGCUAUAUCUUCAUGCCCAGAGCCAUGGCUAUCUCCUCUUCCUCCUGCGAACUGCCCCUGGUGGCUGUGUGCCAGGUAACAUCGACGCCAGACAAGCAACAGAACUUUAAAACAUGUGCUGAGCUGGUUCGAGAGGCUGCCAGACUGGGUGCCUGCCUGGCUUUCCUGCCUGAGGCAUUUGACUUCAUUGCACGGGACCCUGCAGAGACGCUACACCUGUCUGAACCACUGGGUGGGAAACUUUUGGAAGAAUACACCCAGCUUGCCAGGGAAUGUGGACUCUGGCUGUCCUUGGGUGGUUUCCAUGAGCGUGGCCAAGACUGGGAGCAGACUCAGAAAAUCUACAAUUGUCACGUGCUGCUGAACAGCAACGUAGUGGCCACUUACAGGAAGACACAUCUGUGUGACGUAGAGAUUCCAGGGCAGGGGCCUAUGUGUGAAAGCAA
rnacentral:sRNA from 1 species